UACGGGGAAGGGCAAGCGUUGUUCGGAUUUACUGGGCGUAAAGGGCGCGUAGGCGGCCAGCACAAGUCAGUUGUGAAAUCUCCGAGCUUAACUCGGAACGGUCAACUGAUACUGUGCGGCUAGAGUGCGGAAGGGGCAACUGGAAUUCUUGGUGUAGCGGUGAAAUGCGUGGAUAUCGAGAGGAACACCUGCGGCGAAGGCGGGUUGCUGGGCUGAUACUGACGCUGAGGCGCGAAAGCCAGGGGAGCGAACGGGG
rnacentral:rRNA from 1 species